rnacentral:rRNA from 1 species
GAUGAACGCUAGCUACAGGCUUAACACAUGCAAGUCGAGGGGUAACAAGAGAAAAGCUUGCUUUUCUUGUUGACGACCGGCGCACGGGUGAGUAACGCGUAUCCAACCUGCCUAUAACUAGGGAAUAACCUUGCGAAAGUAAGACUAAUACCCUAUGAUUUCCUUUGAUGACAUCAGAUUAGGAAUAAAGAUUUAUCGGUUAUAGAUGGGGAUGCGUCUGAUUAGCUUGUUGGCGGGGUAACGGGCCACCAAGGCAACGAUCAGCAGGGGUUCUGGGAGGAAGGUCCCCCACAUUGGAACUGAGACACGGUCCAAACUCCUACGGGAGGCAGCAGUGAGGAAUAUUGGUCAAUGGGCGAAAGCCUGAACCAGCCAAGUAGCGUGCAGGAUGACGGCCCUAUGGGUUGUAAACUGCUUUUAUACAGGAAUAAAGUUAGCCACGUGUGGUUAUUUGUAGGUACUGUAUGAAUAAGGACCGGCUAAUUCCGUGCCAGCAGCCGCAGUAA